rnacentral:rRNA from 1 species
CCUACGGGUGGCAGCAGUGAGGAAUAUUGGUCAAUGGGCGCGAGCCUGAACCAGCCAAGUAGCGUGAAGGAUGACUGCCCUACGGGUUGUAAACUUCUUUUAUAAAGGAAUAAAGUGAGGCACGUGUGCCUUUUUGCAUGUACUUUAUGCAUAAGGAUCGGCUAACUCCGUGCCAGCAGCCGCGGUAAUACGGAGGAUGCGAGCGUUAUCCGGAUUUAUUGGGUUUAAAGGGUGCGCAGGCGGGAGAUCAAGUCAGCGGUAAAAUGUCGGGGCUCAACGGGGGGAAGUGCCAUUGAUACUGCCUUGCUGGAAUGCGGAUGCCGUGGGAGGAAUGUGUGGUGUAGCGGUGAAAUGCAUAGAGAUCACACAGAACACCGAUUGCGAAGGCAUCUCACGAAUCCGCGAUUGACGCUGAUGCACGAAAGCGUGGGUAUCAAACAGGAUUAGAUACCCUAGUAGUC